CCUACGGGAGGCAGCAGUGGGGAAUAUUGGACAAUGGGGGCAACCCUGAUCCAGCAAUGCCGCGUGUGUGAUGAAGGCCCUAGGGUUGUAAAGCACUUUCACUGGUGAAGAUGAUGACGGUAGCCAGAGAAGAAGCCCCGGCUAACUUCGUGCCAGCAGCCGCGGUAAUACGAAGGGGGCGAGCGUUAUUCGGAAUUACUGGGCGUAAAGGGAGCGCAGGCGGUUCAUUUAGUCAGACGUGAAAGCCCCGGGCUCAACCCGGGAGGUGCGUUUGAUACUGGUGAGCUAGAAAUCAGAAGAGGAUAGUGGAAUUCCCAGUGUAGAGGUGAAAUUCGUAGAUAUUGGGAAGAACACCAGUGGCGAAAGCGGCUAUCUGGUCUGUAUUUGACGCUGAGGCUCGAAAGCGUGGGGAGCAAACAGGAUUAGAUACCCUGGUAGUCCACGCCGUAAACGAUGACAGCUAGAUGUCGGGGGGAUACCUCUCGGUGUCGUACGCUAACGCAUUAAGCUGUCCGCCUGGGAAGUACGGUCGCAAGAUUAAAACUCAAAGGAAUUGACGG
rnacentral:rRNA from 1 species